UCGGGAAUAUUGGUCAAUGGGCGAAAGCCUGAACCAGCAACGCCGCGUGCACGAUGAAGGCCUUCGGGUCGUAAAGUGCUUUUCGGGAGGAUGAGGAAGGACAGUACUCCCGGAAUAAGUCACGGCUAACUACGUGCCAGCAGCCGCGGUAAAACGUAGGUGACAAGCGUUAUCCGGAUUUACUGGGCGUAAAGCGCGUGCAGGCGGCUUGGCAAGUCGGGCAUGAAAUCUCCUGGCUUAACUGGGAGACGCUGUCCGAUACUGCUAGGCUUGAGGGCAGUAGAGGGUGGUGGAAUUCCGCAUGUAGUGGUGAAAUGCGUAGAUAUGCGGAGGAACACCAGUGGCGAAAGCGGCCACCUGGACUGCAUCUGACGCUGAAGCGCGAAAGCUAGGGGAGCAAACGGG
rnacentral:rRNA from 1 species